AUUUUUUUGCGGCGCUGGCCGAUAGUGUCACGGAAAACAUUGGUUCCCAUGGUGACAAGGAGCUUCUAGAUGAGAUCAGCUACAAGUCAAUGAUGUCCCGCUUGAGAAACUUCCUGGACACUUCAACCGGAAAGCAGAUCGCCAUCGAAACAAGCAAUUUCAUUUCCAACGCAAUGGAAACUGCGGGAAUUAAGGACUCCGAACAAAUUUUAGGAAAUCCGAAUGAAAUUGUGCCUAAAAUAGGCAUGAUUUACAAAGAGUUUUGUCAAGAUCCUCGUUUUUCAAGAUUUUGUAGAAAAGCUGAAAGCAAAAUCAGUGAAGACAAAAAGCACAGAGCAACAGUUUACUGCUUCAACUGUAAUCCCUGAAGACGGUUCUUCGACAUUUGAGGAUAUCACAUAUGACCGCGUUGAUGAUGAUUACUAUACGGACUAUCCAGAUA